rnacentral:rRNA from 1 species
UCCACGCCGUAAACGAUGUCAACUAGCCGUUGGGUCUAUUUAUAGGCUUAGUGGCGGAGCUAACGUAUUAAGUUGACCGCCUGGGGAGUACGGCCGGGCAAGGUUAAAACUCAAAUGAAUUGACGGGGGCCCGCACAAGCGGUGGAGCAUGUGGUUUAAUUCGAUGAUACGCGAGGAACCUUACCAGGGCUUAAAAUGUAGGUUGCAUUAGACAGAGAUGUUUAUUUCUUCGG